UGCCCCGGACCACUCCUUGGAGACGGUGACGCCGCUUGCGUCAUCACGCGGGCGUUGGAGCUUACGCCAUCGCGCGUCCUAGAGUCCUAGCACGCUAUUGGCUGGCUGUCAAGCAAUGGGAGGAGUCGUGAGAACCUGGAUGACAGCGGGCUGAGCCACCGGCUUGGCGCGGCGGCCAAACAGGUGGGACAGUGUCUCCAGGUGGUGAGGCCCAACCUCUUAAAACAAACAAACAAAAACCAAAAUGCAAACGUGAGUAGGGAAUGAAAUACACAGUUUAAAUGCCCUCACUAUCUUCGGGUUACUAAUAUACUAAGCCUUUCUGGACUAAGUAAAGGAUGCAGCUUCCUGCGGCUAGGGGUAGAAGCCAGACUGGCGUCUUCAGAAUCUCCCACCAAGGCUGUACCUCUGGAAGAGUUGUGGGUUUGGAUUUGGUCAUCCCAAGAAGAGUCUUCAGAUGGAUUUUAAAAUUGAACACACUUGGGAUGGUUUUCCAGUGAAGCACGAGCCAGUAUUUAUCAGGCUGAAUCCAGGUGACAGAGGAGUGAUGAUGGACAUUAGUGCUCCAUUUUUCAAUGAUCCUCCAGCCCCUCUUGGAGAACCAGGAAAACCUUUCAAUGAACUGUGGGAUUAUGAAGUUGUGGAAGCAUUUUUCUUGAAUGAUAUAACUGAGCAAUAUUUAGAAGUUGAACUUUGUCCCCACGGACAGCAUUUAGUGCUUUUACUUUCUGGAAGAAGAAAUGUGUGGAAACAAGAACUUCCUUUAUCAUUCAGAGUGUCCAGAGGAGAGACAAAAUGGGAAGGCAAAGCUUAUCUCCCUUGGAGUUAUUUUCCACCAAAUGUGACAAAAUUCAAUUCGUUUGCAAUUCAUGGAUCAGAAGAUAAACGAAGUUAUGAAGCUCUUUACCCUGUACCUCAGCAUGAACUGCAACAAGGACAAAAACCUGAUUUAGAUGCCCUACCCAGAAAGGAGGAAUCUACAGAGGCAGUCUGGCUACAGCAGCUUUGCGAAGCUGCGAUGAGCUCUGUCCAGUUUGAACAUCCCAGUGGCUUUGUUUACACUGGGAGGAGAAAACCGCCUAUUCAAGCCUCAGUAAUGGCGCACUCCCUCUCCCUCCACCAAGCUUGAGCAUCCCAGAUCGACUUCAGACUGCUGUGCUGGCAGUGAGAAUUUCAAGCCAGUGGAUCUUAGCUUGCUGGGCUCCGUGGGAGUGGGAUCCGCUGAGCUAGACCACUUGGUUCCCUGGCUUCAGCCUCCUUUCCAGAGGAGUGAAUGGUUCCUUCUCGCUGUGUUCCAGGUGUUGCUGAGCUAACUGUGAAACAACCUCAGGCAGGUCCUUCAGGAGGUUUCCAGAAGAAGGCAUUAUUAUCAUAGGAGACGACAACUCCAUUGUCGCGGGACGUCAGGGACCCUGAAUGGAGGGACCGGCUGGAGCCAUGGCAGAGGAACAUAAAUUGUGAAGAUUUCAUUUUAAUAUGGACAUUUAUCAGUUUCCAAAUAAUACUUUUAUAAUUUCUCAUGUGUGUCUUUACUUUUAUCUGUUAAUCGUGUUAUCUUCGUAAGCUGAGGAUGUACGUCGCCUCAGGACCACUGUGAUAAUUGUGUUAACUGUGCAAAUUGAUUGUCAAACAUGUGUGUUUGAACAAUAUGAAGUCAGUGCACCUUGAAAAAGAACAGAAUAACAGCGAUUUUUAGGGAACAAGGGAAGACAACCAUAAAGUCUGACUGCCUGUGGGGUUGGGCAAAAUGAGCCAUAUUUUUCUACUUGCAGAGAGCCUAUAAACGGAUGUACAAGUAGGAGAAAUAUCACUAAAUUCUUUUCCUAGCAAGGAAUAUUAAUAUUAAUACCCUGGGAAAGGAAUGCAUUCCUGGGGGGAGGUCUAUAAAUGGCCACCCUGGGAGUGUCUGUCUUAUGUGGUUGAGAUAAGGACUGAGAUACACCCUGGGUCUCCUGCAGCAACCUCAGGCUUACUAGCGUGGAGAAAAACUCCGCCCUGGUAAAUCUGUGGUCAGACCAAUUCUCUGCUCUCGAACCCUGUUUUCUGUUGUUCAAGAUGUUUAUCAAGACAAUACAUACGCCGCUGAACAUAGACCCUUAUCAGUAGUUCUGCUUUCUGCCCUUUGAAGCAUGUGAUCUUUGUACCUAUUCUCUGUUCUUACACCCCCUCCCCUUUUGUAACCGUUAAUAAAAAACUUGCUGGUUUGAGGCUCAGGUGGGCAUCACGGUCCUACCUAUAUGUGAUGUCACCCUCAGCAGCCCAGCUGUAAAAUUCCUCUCUUUGUACUUUUUAUUUCUCAGCCGGCUGACACUUAUGGAAAAUAGAAAGAACCUAUGCUGAAAUAUUGGGGGCAGGUUCCCCCAUUACUCUGCAUGUUACUGCCCCUGAAGACCUUCCAGUGGGACAAGAUGUGGAGGUGGAGGACAGUGAUAUUGAUGAUCCUGACCCUGUUUGUGUUUGUGUCUUGGUUUCAUAAAAAAGUUUUAAAAGUAAAAUAAACAAAUAAUAGAAAAAAGCUUGUAGAAUAAGGUUAUAAAGAAAUAAAAUAUUUUUGUACAGCUA